rnacentral:rRNA from 1 species
GUAACAAGGUCUCCGUUGGUGAACCAGCGGAGGGAUCAUUACCGAGUUUACAACUCCCAAACCCCUGUGAACAUACCAAUUGUUGCCUCGGCGGAUCAGCCCGCUCCCGGUAAAACGGGACGGCCCGCCAGAGGACCCCUAAACUCUGUUUCUAUAUGUAACUUCUGAGUAAAACCAUAAAUAAAUCAAAACUUUCAACAACGGAUCUCUUGGUUCUGGCAUCGAUGAAGAACGCAGCAAAAUGCGAUAAGUAAUGUGAAUUGCAGAAUUCAGUGAAUCAUCGAAUCUUUGAACGCACAUUGCGCCCGCCAGUAUUCUGGCGGGCAUGCCUGUUCGAGCGUCAUUUCAACCCUCAAGCCCAGCUUGGUGUUGGGACUCGCGAGUUAAAUCGCGUUCCCCAAAUUGAUUGGCGGUCACGUCGAGCUUCCAUAGCGUAGUAGUAAAACCCUCGUUACUGGUAAUCGUCGCGGCCACGCCGUUAAACCCCAACUUCUGAAUGUGACCUCGGAUC